rnacentral:lncRNA from 1 species
GUGCAGGGCUCACCCUAGCUUCGGAGAACGAAGGCUUUCUCUGAUGGGUCUCUGCUCCUGAGCGUGUCACAAGCUCUUGAAAAACCACACGGAACAACCCAGAAAUAGCCAACAGACCAAAGGGAAAACGGUUUGGAGCCAGUUCCACAAAGCGACGGAACACCUCCUGAGACUGUGUGCUGGAGAGAAAGGGUCCCACUCUUCUAUCCCUACAAGGACAAGAGGACUCUCUGGGUCUCCUUUGUAAAACUACUCACCCAUGAAGACCUAACAACCUCCUGUUAUGGUUUGAAUGAGUAGGAUCCUACCCACUCGCCCUUUGCCCAUGUGUCACAGGCUUGGUCACCAGGAUGGUGCUGACUGGACAGUGGAGAGCCUUUAGGAGAUGGAGCCUUCGCAAGGGAUUAUGGGAAUUUACUCUCCACACUCUGCUACAUCCUGGCUCCCAUGGUAGGUGGUUUAUUCUACCACUUUCUCCUGCAGUGAAAUCUCGUCUUC